rnacentral:rRNA from 1 species
GGCAUGCUUUACACAUGCAAGUCUAACGGCAGCACGGGGGUAACCCUGGUGGCGAGUGGCGAACGGGUGAGGAAUACAUCGGAACGUAUCUUCAAGUGGGGGAUAACGCAUCGAAAGGUGCGCUAAUACCGCAUAAUCUCUGAGGAGAAAAGCAGGGGAUCGCAAGACCUUGCGCUUUUAGAGCGGCCGAUGCCUGAUUAGCUUGUUGGUGAGGUAAAAGCUCACCAAGGCUUCGAUCAGUAGCUGGUCUGAGAGGACGACCAGCCACACUGGGACUGAGACACGGCCCAGACUCCUACGGGAGGCAGCAGUGGGGAAUUUUGGACAAUGGGGGCAACCCUGAUCCAGCCAUGCCGCGUGAGUGAAGAAGGCCUUCGGGUUGUAAAGCUCUUUCAGCCGGAACGAAACGGUCACGAUUAAUACCCGUGGCUACUGACGGUACCGGAAGAAGAAGCACCGGCUAACUACGUGCCAGCAGCCGCGGUAAUACGUAGGGUGCGAGCGUUAAUCGGAAUUACUGGGCGUAAAGCGUGCGCAGGUGGUUUUGUAAGUCAGAUGUGAAAUCCCCGGGCUUAACCUGGGAACUGCGUUUGAAACUGCAAGGCUAGAGUGUGGCAGAGGGGGGUGGAAUUCCGCGUGUAGCAGUGAAAUGCGUAGAGAUGUGGAGGAACACCGAUGGCGAAGGCAGCCCC